rnacentral:rRNA from 1 species
UGGGGAAUUUUGGACAAUGGGCGCAAGCCUGAUCCAGCCAUGCCGCGUGCAGGAUGAAGGCCUUCGGGUUGUAAACUGCUUUUGUACGGAACGAAACGGCUCUUUCUAAUAAAGAGGGCUAAUGACGGUACCGUAAGAAUAAGCACCGGCUAACUACGUGCCAGCAGCCGCGGUAAUACGUAGGGUGCAAGCGUUAAUCGGAAUUACUGGGCGUAAAGCGUGCGCAGGCGGUGAUGUAAGACAGUUGUGAAAUCCCCGGGCUCAACCUGGGAACUGCAUCUGUGACUGCAUCGCUGGAGUACGGCAGAGGGGGAUGGAAUUCCGCGUGUAGCAGUGAAAUGCGUAGAUAUGCGGAGGAACACCGAUGGCGAAGGCAAUCCCCUGGGCCUGUACUGACGCUCAUGCACGAAAGCGUGGGGAGCAAACA